rnacentral:rRNA from 1 species
AACGUAGGUGGCAAGCGUUAUCCGGAUUUACUGGGCGUAAAGCGUGUGCAGGCGGGGGGUACAAGUGGUGUAUGAAAUUUCCCAGCUUAACUGGGAAGGGUUAUGCCAGACUGUACUUCUGGAGUGCGAGAGAGGGGCGUGGAAUUCCGGGUGUAGUGGUGAAAUGCGUAGAUAUCCUAAGGAACACCGGUGGCGAAGGCGGCACGCUGGACACCUUCUGACGCUGAGGCGCGAAAGCCAGGGGAGCAAACGGG